rnacentral:rRNA from 1 species
CAGUCGCCGCGGUAAUACGUAGGGUGCAAGCGUUAAUCGGAAUUACUGGGCGUAAAGCGUGCGCAGGCGGUUUGUUAAGACAGAUGUGAAAUCCCCGGGCUCAACCUGGGAACUGCAUUUGUGACUGGCAAGCUAGAGUGUGCAGAGGGGGGUGGAAUUCCGCGUGUAGCAGUGAAAUGCGUAGAUAUGCGGAGGAACACCGAUGGCGAAGGCAGCCCCCUGGGCCAACACUGACGCUCAUGCACGAAAGCGUGGGGAGCAAACAGGAUUAGAUACCCACGUAGUCCCUGUCUCUUAUACA